rnacentral:tRNA from 1 species
AAACUUAAGUUACACUAAACCAGGAGCCUUCAAAGCCCCAAACAGGGCCCUAGUUUCUG